CGCGGGAGGCCUGGGGGCUGGCAGUACUUAGCUGACUCGCGGUAGGCGCCGGACUGUCAGUGCGCCUGCGCGUGGGUAGAGCGCCGGGGUUCUAGGCUGUGCUGAGCCGGUUGCUGGGUGUAGCCAUGCAGAGUGCCGACUCCCAGCAGCCCUCCAAGCGACCCCGGUGCGAUGGCAGCCCGACAACCCCGCCAAACACCCCUCCAGCAGCGGCAGAGAGGUCCCUGGGCCCCAACCUCCACCCUGACCACCGGACCUGGGGCCCGGAGCAGGUGUGCGGCUUCCUAAAUCGCAGUGGCUUCGGCGAUUCUGAACUGCUGGAACGCUGCCGAGAGAAGAAAAUCACAGGUUCAAUACUGCCCUUUCUUGAUGAGUCUCUUCUUGAAGAUCUUGGAGUAAGUUCCUAUGAAAAGAGGAUGAAACUCCUUAAUUAUAUCCAACGACUGGGUCAAACUCAUGUUGAUACAGUGAAGGUGAUUAAUGAUCCUAUCCAUGGUCACAUUGAACUCCACCCUCUCCUCAUCCGAAUCAUCGAUACACCACAGUUUCAGCGCCUGCGAUACAUUAAACAGCUGGGAGGCGGUUACUAUGUUUUUCCAGGAGCUUCACACAAUCGAUUUGAGCAUAGCCUAGGUGUGGGGUAUCUGGCAGGAUGUCUUGUUCGUGAACUGAGUGAAAAACAACCUGAGCUGCAGAUAAGUGAACGAGAUAUGCUUUGUGUUCAGAUUGCUGGGCUUUGUCAUGAUCUUGGUCAUGGGCCGUUUUCGCAUAUGUUUGAUGGAAGAUUUAUUCCACUUGCUCGCCCAGAUGUGAAAUGGACGCAUGAACAGGGCUCAGUUAAUAUGUUUGAGCACCUGGUUAAUUCUAAUGGACUCAUAGAUGUCAUGGAACACUAUGGGCUCAUCCCCGAAGAAGAUAUUUGGUUUAUCAAAGAACAAAUUACAGGACCACUUGAAUCACCCGUCAAAAAUGCCACGUGGCCAUAUAAAGGGCGUCCUAAAGAAAAAAGUUUCCUUUAUGAAAUAGUGGCAAAUAAAAGAAAUGGCAUUGAUGUUGACAAAUGGGAUUACUUUGCCAGGGACUGCCAUCAUCUUGGAAUCCAAAAUAAUUUUGAUUACAAGCGCUUUAUUAAAUUCGCCCGUGUCUGUGAGGUAGAUAAUAAGAAGCAUAUUUGUACUAGAGAAAAGGAGGUUGGAAACCUGUAUGACAUGUUCCACACACGCAACUGUUUGCACCGCAGAGCUUAUCAACACAAAGUUGGCAACAUCAUUGAUACAAUGAUUACAGAUGCCUUCCUCAAAGCAGACCCUUACAUAGAGAUAACAGGUUCUGAAGGAAAAAAGUAUCGCAUUUCUACAGCAAUUGAUGACAUGGAGGCCUUCACUAAGCUGACAGAUAAUAUUUUUCUGGAGAUUUUAUACUCUACUGACCCCAAACUGGAUGCUGCACGAGCGAUUUUAAAAAAAAUCGAAUGCCGUAAUCUCUACAAGUUUGUGGGUGAGACCCAACCAGGCAGACAAGAUAAGAUUAAAAGGGAAAACUACGAAAGUCUUCCAAAAGGGGUCGCCAGUGCUAAGCCCAGUAACAUACAGCUAGAAGCUGAACUGAAGGCUGAAGAUUUCAUAGUGGAUGUUAUCAACAUGGAUUACGGGAUGGAAGACAAGAAUCCUAUUGAUAAUGUUCGCUUCUAUUGUAAGAGUGACCCCAACAAGGCAAUCAUAAUUACUAAAAAUCAGGUUUCACAGCUUUUGCCAGAGAGAUUUGCUGAACAGCUAAUUCGAGUUUACUGUAAGAAGACGGAUGAAAAGAGUCUGUUUGCUGCACGACAGCAUUUUGUUCAGUGGUGCUUAGACAAUGAUUUCACCAAGCCACAGCUGGAGUGAGAAUAAGGAAGUAUAUCUGUCUUAGGUACUGUAGAUCCUAAGAAAACUAAACCCCUGAUGAAGAAGGAAAACUCUAGCAGCAGAUGGAUUGGAAUGUGGGGAGACUGGAAGCAGAGAGACAAGGCUAUUCAAGUUCAGCCAUGUGGCGAUAACUGCCUUAAAUCCAGAUAUAUUCAGUCAGUGAAAGUGCUUUCACCAGGCCCUGUGUUAGGUACCUGGAACAGUACCUGAUGCAGACAGUUCCUGAGGGUCUCUGCUCUAGUUGGGGAUAACAGACACAAGAGUAAAUGACAAUGACUGUGGCCUGGAUGGUGAUGUUGUAGCCCCACUUAUAACGCCUCGAAAAUUGGAGUGGAAUUCCACGCAUUCAGCCCAGAGUCAAGCUCGCACCCGAGAAGCAUCCAAAUCCAGAGUCCGACUUUUUGCAAAGGACUCGGUGUGAAUGUCUGCAUUCAGUUAUUUACAGAAAGCUUCUCCCUGCCCCCCCAAUCAAUUUAGGGCAUAUGAUCACAGAGCUCUACAAAUUUAGUGAUAACUAGUGCUUUUUAUUUUAUAUUUUGAAUGUACACACAUGCUCAUUCAUUUUUAUUCAGAGAAACAGGAAUUAGGCAAACCUUGUUACAUGAGCUAUGGAAAGCACUGCCUUGCCUAUUAUUAAUAUUAAUCGAAGCCUUUCUUCUUUAGCAGUCUAUUUUCUUAGAAUAACCACUCUUUCAUAUGCUUCUAACUCUUAUGACAUAUGAUUGUUUUUUUAAAAAAUUGGAAAUAAGACAGGUGCACACUGGAAUUUGCAGUUGGGCUUGCCAUGAACAGCUGUGGUUAAAAACAAGAGGUAACAUCCAAGCCCCCUGAGGAAGCACCCCUCACCCAUGAUUUGAGGGCAGCUCUCCUUCGACAGUCAGAACCUUAGUGAAGGGCACCUUGCUCACCCUCUCAGCCCCCGUAAGCUGCUGGGUUGGGGUCCACAGUAGGUGAGGGUGAAGAGUGGGCUCCUGCUCUUUGGUGAGAGGCUUGAUUGAUUUGUUGAAAAGAUCUGAGGGCUCGACCUCCUCUGAAGUGGCACAUUAAACUACCUUAUAGGAGGCCCCUAGCCCCCAUGGCAGAGGGAUACCCCAAACCGGAUUGUUCUUGGGGUCUGCUGUGGCUCCAGCCUGGGUUAGUUUCUUUCCGUCCUGGUUACUAGCUGCCCAAGCCCUGAGGGCUUGACCAUUGCCAUGCCUGCCGAAGGCAGCUCCCCUCCCACCUGCCCUCUGCAUCUUGCUUGGGUGCUGAUCAGAGGUCAUCUUCAGGGCUACCCAGAGCCGGGACUUCGUUCUUGCCAGUUCAGUGCAUUUCAUAGGUUUCAGAGCGCAGACUGAGCUGCCUGUGCUGAGAUGAAGUGAUCACCCAGUGAAUUUCAGGUUCCCCUUUGUGUCUCUACCUCUAGCGGUGGAGUAGGCCCCACUGUGGUUGAGCAGUGGUCCUGAGCUGAGGGCAUUCCCCCCCUGCCCCAGACACACAUCCCCAGUGCUACAGAAACUUACCAAGAACAAAGUCUGGACUUAGAGCUGGAGCUGAUGGCUGCCAGGUGCAAGGCACUGGGGAGUGCAGUCACAAGCCCCUAACAUCUUAUGCUCCGACACACCCUUACAAUAGCCUCCCUGUCAGGCUGGGAGUGCAGAGCCAGCCCUGACUCCUCGGGCUGAGAGGAGGGGAGGAACUCAGACCACAGGCCAGUGGAUUAUCCACAGGGUCUUAGGAGUGCUGCCACCUUCCACUGUAUAACCAGGAUCUCUCUGUUGACAUGAGGGUGACAUGUAUUUGGAAUGUCUGCCGUCCUCCCUCAGUUAUCACCCCUCCCCAUCCCUCUGUAGAUAAUCAAGAGUUGACCCUCAUUCAUAGAAUAGUUAAAACUCUUCUCUCCUACCACGAUGCUAUGUGGUGGGGACGUGGUCACAUGUGGGCUCAUAAACGCACAAGGAAAGUGGUUCAUGGUGCCGGGUCAUCUCUGUUUUGACCAAGGUGCCUCUAAAACAUUCAGUGGGGAGAAUUAUCCGUCUCAGACUUAAUGUGCCCAGACCCAAGGUAAAGAAUGUAAUGUUUUUCUACUAAGAUUGUUUUAUUUUUGCAACUCCUACCUUUAAAUCAUUGUCUCAGUGUUGUAUCAUUUUGCUCUGAGAAACAACUUGAAUCUAUUUUGUUUGCAUCUUUUGUUACAUGUAAGGUAACUGCACUUUAUGCUCUUUGCAACUGUUUUAAUUAUGGGAACCAAGUGCCAUUUACAAGGUUAAAUUUUUCUUAAGCAGCUUCACUGUAUAAAAACCAAGACUUUAACAGUUUGGCCUUUGGAGUUACUGAGUAUUGUCACCUUGAGAACAUAAAUAGAGCUGCAAGUUAAAGUGACUGGUUACUUCAUCUGGGUAAGGGAGACAACUGCAAUAAAGCUUCAUGAAUGUAUCUCCACUUUGACACCAACCGUGUCUUCCUUGAUGACUUUCUCUCACACAAAAGUGUGCCCAGUUUUGACCCUUUUGUGCAAAAGAAAUGCAUUUUUGUCUAGGAAUGCACCUGGAUGUUGCUUUGUACCUCAUUACCAUGCUGGGUCUUUAAGAGGGGUUGAUAGUAACAGAGCUCAUGUUACUUGGCUUCCUCACUCAAUAAUGAAUCUUCUGGAGUUCCCUGGUGGCUCAGCAGGUAAAGGAUCUGGUGUUGUCAUGCUAUGGUAUGGGUUUGUUUUUUGUUUUUUUUUAGCCUUUUUCUAGGGCAGCACACACCACAUACGGAAGUUCCCAGACUAGGGGUCUAAUCCGGGCUGUAGCCACCGGCCCUACACCACGGCCACUGCAACAUGGGAUCUGAGCUACGUCUGUAACCUACACCACAGCUCACGGCAACGCCAGAUUCUUAACCCACUGAGCGAGGCCAGGGAUCAAACCCGCAACCUCAUGGUUCCUAGUUGGAUUCAUUAACCACUGAGCCACGACAGGAACUCCCUAUGGUGUGGGUUUGAUCCCAGGAACUUCCACAUGUCCUGAGCAUGUCUUAAAAAAGAAAAAAGAAAAAAAAAAACCUAGCAGGAGGCAAGCACUAGCAUGGGAAGGGAUAAAUGGAUUUUUAUUACUUUUUUAUUUCCUAGUUUUUCUGAGAUCCUGUUUUGCCUUCCUCCUUUUCAACCUUCCUAAGGUUCCCAUUUACAGAAUUUCUUCUUCUUUACCCAAAUAUGCAUAUUGUUCAUUUGCUGCUUUCAUAUUUUCCUCGUGGAUUCAGAGAUUUGUAAGCACCUGGCACACUGGUAGCAAAUGGAAAGCCCUCACUGUCCUGGGGAAAGAAGGCUGCUGCUGGAGUCUUUAUUAAUUUCACUCUCGAAUCCAAGCGUCUGUGAUUUGACAAUAUUCUUUAGGUUAAAAUAACUUCUAAAAUAUGUAGACUAGAAUCCCAUUUUAUAAGAUAUACAUAUAUAUAUAUAUCUCCUUGGAAAAUUGUCUGGAAGGAUAUACGUGAAAAUGUGUUUUGGAGAGUGACUGAAUUUUGAAGGGAGGCAAUUUAAAAUUUUUAAAUCUUCUGGUUUUACUACAAUAAACAUGUACCGUGUAAUUUCGAAAAA